AUUGAACGCUGGCGGCAUGCCUUACACAUGCAAGUCGAACGGUAACAGGUCUUCGGAUGCUGACGAGUGGCGAACGGGUGAGUAAUAUAUCGGAACGUGCCCAGUAGUGGGGGAUAGCCCGGCGAAAGCCGGAUUAAUACCGCAUACGACCUGAGGGAGAAAGGGGGGGAUUCGCAAGAACCUCUCGCUAUUGGAGCGGCCGAUAUCAGAUUAGGUAGUUGGUGGGGUAAAGGCCUACCAAGCCUGCGAUCUGUAGUUGGUCUGAGAGGACGACCAGCCACACUGGGACUGAGACUCGGCCCAGACUCCUACGGGAGGCAGCAGUGGGGAAUUUUGGACAAUGGGCGCAAGCCUGAUCCAGCAAUGCCGCGUGCAGGAAGAAGGCCUUCGGGUUGUAAACUGCUUUUGUCAGGGAAGAAAUCCUCUGGGUUAAUACCUCGGGGGGAUGACGGUACCUGAAGAAUAAGCACCGGCUAACUACGUGCCAGCCGCCGCCGUAA
rnacentral:rRNA from 1 species